GGCGUAUCGGGUGGCCCGUUUCACAUGCAGUCGAACGGCAGCACGAGAGAGCUUGCUCUCUUGGUGGCGAGUGGCGGACGGGUGAGUAAUAUAUCGGAACGUGCCCAGUAGCGGGGGAUAACUACUCGAAAGAGUGGCUAAUACCGCAUACGCCCUACGGGGGAAAGGGGGGGAUUCUUCGGAACCUCUCACUAUUGGAGCGGCCGAUAUCGGAUUAGCUAGUUGGUGGGGUAAAGGCUCACCAAGGCAACGAUCCGUAGCUGGUUUGAGAGGACGACCAGCCACACUGGGACUGAGACACGGCCCAGACUCCUACGGGAGGCAGCAGUGGGGAAUUUUGGACAAUGGGGGAAACCCUGAUCCAGCCAUCCCGCGUGUAUGAUGAAGGCCUUCGGGUUGUAAAGUACUUUUGGCAGAGAAGAAAAGGUAUCUCCUAAUACGAGAUACUGCUGACGGUAUCUGCAGAAUAAGCACCGGCUAACUACGUGCCAGCAGCCGCGGUAAUACGUAGGGUGCAAGCGUUAAUCGGAAUUACUGGGCGUAAAGCGUGUGUAGGCGGUUCGGAAAGAAAGAUGUGAAAUCCCAGGGCUCAACCUUGGAACUGCAUUUUUAACUGCCGAGCUAGAGUAUGUCAGAGGGGGGUAGAAUUCCACGUGUAGCAGUGAAAUGCGUAGAUAUGUGGAGGAAUACCGAUGGCGACGCAGCCCCUGCGAUAUACUGACGCUCAGACACGAAAGCGUGGGGAGCAGCAGGAUAGAUACCCUGGUAGUCCACCCCUAAACGAUGU
rnacentral:rRNA from 1 species